rnacentral:tRNA from 1 species
GGUCUCAUGGUCUAGGGGUAUGAUUCUCGCUUAGGGUGCGAGAGGCCCCGCGUUCGAAUCGCGGUAAGACCC